AUUGCAAUUAACUAAACUCCCUAUUAGGGAUUGAAAC
rfam:Nostoc calcicola FACHB-389 FACHB-389_Scaffold_135, whole genome shotgun sequence.